rnacentral:rRNA from 1 species
GACGAACGCUGGCGGCGUGCUCACACAUGCAAGUCGCACGGAAAGGCCCUGCUUUUGUGGGGUGCUCGAGUGGCGAACGGGUGAGUAACACGUGAGUAACCUGCCCUUGACUUUGGGAUAACUUCAGGAAACUGGGGCUAAUACCGGAUAGGAGCUCCUGCUGCAUGGUGGGGGUUGGAAAGUUUCGGCGGUUGGGGAUGGACUCGCGGCUUAUCAGCUUGUUGGUGGGGUAGUGGCUUACCAAGGCUUUGACGGGUAGCCGGCCUGAGAGGGUGACCGGCCACAUUGGGACUGAGAUACGGCCCAGACUCCUACGGGAGGCAGCAGUGGGGAAUAUUGCACAAUGGGCGGAAGCCUGAUGCAGCAACGCCGCGUGCGGGAUGACGGCCUUCGGGUUGUAAACCGCUUUCGCCUGUGACGAAGCGUGAGUGACGGUAAUGGGUAAAGAAGCACCGGCUAACUACGUG